rnacentral:rRNA from 1 species
UAGUCAUAUGCUUGUCUCAAAGAUUAAGCCAUGCAUGUCUAAGUAUAAACAACUUUAUACAGUGAAACUGCAGAUGGCUCAUUAAAUCAGUUAUAGUUUAUUUGAUGGUACCUUACUACAUGGAUAACCGUAGUAAUUCUAGAGCUAAUACAUGCGCAAACGGGGCCCCGCAAGGGACCCCAGUGUUUAUUAGAUAAAAAACCAAUUCGGCUCUCGGGCCGAUUCCACGGUGAAUCAUAAUAACUUUCGAAUCGCAUGGCCUCGUGCCGGCGAUAGA